GACGAACGCUGGCGGCGUGCUUAACACAUGCAAGUCGAACGAUGAAGCCGGAGCUUGCUCUGGUGAAUUAGUGGCGAACGGGUGAGUAACACGUGAGUAACCUGCCCUCGACUCUGGAAUAACUGCUAGAAAUGGUAGCUAAUACCGGAUACGACCCUCGGAGGCAUCUCCAGGGGGUGGAAAGAAUUUCGGUCAAGGAUGGACUCGCGGCCUAUCAGCUAGUUGGUGAGGUAACGGCUCACCAAGGCGACGACGGGUAGCCGGCCUGAGAGGGUGACCGGCCACACUGGGACUGAGACACGGCCCAGACUCCUACGGGAGGCAGCAGUGGGGAAUAUUGCACAAUGGGCGCAAGCCUGAUGCAGCAACGCCGCGUGAGGGAUGACGGCCUUCGGGUUGUAAACCUCUUUUAGUAGGGAAGAAGCGAAAGUGACGGUAUCUGCAGAAAAAGCACCGGCUAACUACGUGCCAGCCGCCGCGUAA
rnacentral:rRNA from 1 species